UAUGGAGAGUUUGAUCCUGGCUCAGGAUGAACGCUGGCGGCGUGCCUAAUACAUGCAAGUCGAGCGAACGGACGAGAAGCUUGCUUCUCUGAUGUUAGCGGCGGACGGGUGAGUAACACGUGGAUAACCUACCUAUAAGACUGGGAUAACUUCGGGAAACCGGAGCUAAUACCGGAUAAUAUUUUGAACCGCAUGGUUCAAAAGUAAAAGACGGUCUUGCUGUCACUUAUAGAUGGAUCCGCGCUGCAUUAGCUAGUUGGUAAGGUAACGGCUUACCAAGGCAACGAUGCAUAGCCGACCUGAGAGGGUGAUCGGCCACACUGGAACUGAGACACGGUCCAGACUCCUACGGGAGGCAGCAGUAGGGAAUCUUCCGCAAUGGGCGAAAGCCUGACGGAGCAACGCCGCGUGAGUGAUGAAGGUCUUCGGAUCGUAAAACUCUGUUAUUAGGGAAGAACAUAUGUGUAAGUAACUGUGCACAUCUUGACGGUACCUAAUCAGAAAGCCACGGCUAACUACGUGCCAGCAGCCGCGGUAAUACGUAGGUGGCAAGCGUUAUCCGGAAUUAUUGGGCGUAAAGCGCGCGUAGGCGGUUUUUUAAGUCUGAUGUGAAAGCCCACGGCUCAACCGUGGAGGGUCAUUGGAAACUGGAAAACUUGAGUGCAGAAGAGGAAAGUGGAAUUCCAUGUGUAGCGGUGAAAUGCGCAGAGAUAUGGAGGAACACCAGUGGCGAAGGCGACUUUCUGGUCUGUAACUGACGCUGAUGUGCGAAAGCGUGGGGAUCAAACAGGAUUAGAUACCCUGGUAGUCCACGCCGUAAACGAUGAGUGCUAAGUGUUAGGGGGUUUCCGCCCCUUAGUGCUGCAGCUAACGCAUUAAGCACUCCGCCUGGGGAGUACGACCGCAAGGUUGAAACUCAAAGGAAUUGACGGGGACCCGCACAAGCGGUGGAGCAUGUGGUUUAAUUCGAAGCAACGCGAAGAACCUUACCAAAUCUUGACAUCCUUUGACAACUCUAGAGAUAGAGCCUUCCCCUUCGGGGGACAAAGUGACAGGUGGUGCAUGGUUGUCGUCAGCUCGUGUCGUGAGAUGUUGGGUUAAGUCCCGCAACGAGCGCAACCCUUAAGCUUAGUUGCCAUCAUUAAGUUGGGCACUCUAAGUUGACUGCCGGUGACAAACCGGAGGAAGGUGGGGAUGACGUCAAAUCAUCAUGCCCCUUAUGAUUUGGGCUACACACGUGCUACAAUGGACAAUACAAAGGGCAGCGAAACCGCGAGGUCAAGCAAAUCCCAUAAAGUUGUUCUCAGUUCGGAUUGUAGUCUGCAACUCGACUACAUGAAGCUGGAAUCGCUAGUAAUCGUAGAUCAGCAUGCUACGGUGAAUACGUUCCCGGGUCUUGUACACACCGCCCGUCACACCACGAGAGUUUGUAACACCCGAAGCCGGUGGAGUAACCUUUUAGGAGCUAGCCGUCGAAGGUGGGACAAAUGAUUGGGGUGAAGUCGUAACAAGGUAGCCGUAUCGGAAGGUGCGGCUGGAUCACCUCCUU
rnacentral:rRNA from 1 species